rnacentral:tRNA from 1 species
GAGGGUAUAGCUUAAGUGGUAGAGCACAUACUUAGCAUGCACGAGGUCCUGGGUUCAAUACCCAGUACCUCUU